rnacentral:rRNA from 1 species
GAUGAACGCUAGCGGCAGGCUUAACACAUGCAAGUCGAGGGGUAGAGUUCUUCGGAACUUGAGACCGGCGCACGGGUGCGUAACGCGUAUGCAAUCUACCUUUUACAGAGGGAUAGCCCAGAGAAAUUUGGAUUAAUACCUCAUAGUAUUAUUGAAUGGCAUCAUUUAAUAAUUAAAGUUCCAACGGUAAAAGAUGAGCAUGCGUCCCAUUAGCUAGAUGGUAAGGUAACGGCUUACCAUGGCAACGAUGGGUAGGGGUCCUGAGAGGGAGAUCCCCCACACUGGUAC